GCUCUGAUUGUACUUUCUCCACAAGCUUCAGCAUGGCAGUAUCUCUCACCACUUGUUUUGGUCCAAGGGCAGAAAUGAGCAUCCUGGAAACCAAUCAGUACUUGCUCUCUGAACUGGAAAAGUGCAAAGAGAACUUCCGAGACCUCACAGAGAAAUUCCUGACAUCCAAAGCUACUGCCUACUCCCUGGCCAAUCACCUGCAGAAAUAUAGAUACAUGAUCCCUUAAUUCAGGCUCAGGCUGAAGAACUGACCCACUUACGACAGAAGAUACAAGAAGGGAGAGGUGUCUGCUACCUUUUCACCCAGCAUGUGAAGAACACAGUCAAGUCUUUUGAGGGCCUUCUCAGGAACACUGGCAUUGCCUACUACCAGAGACAGAGAUUCUGUGAGCAAAUGGUACAAGGAAGCCAGCUAACAGAGAUCCUUGUCAGAAAACUUGCCACAGAAAAUCACAAUGGUAAGAAAAUGAAGACAGGCAAAAGCCACUGGCUCCCAGGCACACUUUACUCCCAGUCAAAAGUGGACUGUAUACUUCCUCUUUGAUGUGAUGGUCCCUUUGGUUUUGGUGCCUCUUCCAUGAGCUUCAGAUCAGAACUAGCUAUGUGGUUCCAGGCUGCCCUGGUUUAAUCCCUUGUCUUGCCUACUUCACCUGGCUCAAGAGGGAAGUCCAGGAGGAAGAAAUGGAUGAAGUCCUGGAGGACUCACUAGAUGAACAGUAUUUGACUCAUUCCAGCUGCCAUGACUCCCACCAGCUUCCCAGCAGCAAUGCCUUCCUCUUUGAUGCACAGGAAGGCCCCUCGGCUGUGGAAAUAGCCAAAGAUGAGAUCCAGAGCCAGUGGCAGCACCUGAAAGAGAUCCUUUUCAUCAACAACUGCCUGUGAGAAAAGCUAGAACAUCAUCACAGCAGCUUUGACGAAGAAAAUGGAUGCACCUCUAACCUCUACAGGCAAAUCAUAGAUUCCAUUGUCCAGCUGUAAAAUGAAAACAGAGUUCUCAGAGAAGAAUACCGGAGACUCCCCCGACUUGCCUGAAUCAAAUUUCCAGAGGUAAGUGGUGAAAGGCUACAAUAUGAAGUCACUCUCAGAUGGGUCCCUUCUCUUGCCACACUCCACUGUAGAAAUAAAAGAGGACGGGGAGGCCAGAGCUGCUCAAAACCUUAUAACCCACAAUUCUCAUAGUCAUUCUCAACUUAGAGAGGGCUGCUUUCUAGACACACCCCCUCCAGGCCCCCAGACUGCCAGGCUCCAGGAAUAAGUAGCUCUAAGAAAUACAGUAUUUCGAUGCGAGCCACACCCCACUAUUGCAAAUUGGAGAAGAGAAGGACAAACUUAAAAGGUGAAAAGAUUUAACAGAACAACAGGGUGAAACCCCAUCUCUAAUAAAAAUACAAAACUUAGCUGGGCGUGGUGGCAUGCACCUGUAGUCCCAGCUACUCAGGAGGCUGAGGCAGGAGAAUCAUUUCAACCCAGGAGGCAGACGUUGCAGCGAGCCAAGUUUGCACCACUGCAUUCUAGCCUGAGUGACAGAGCAUGACUCCAUCUCAAAAAAAAAAGAAAAAAAG
rnacentral:lncRNA from 1 species